rnacentral:rRNA from 1 species
AGAGUUUGAUCCUGGCUCAGAUUGAACGCUGGCGGCAUGCUUUACACAUGCAAGUCGGACGGCAGCACAGGGAAGCUUGCUUCUCGGGUGGCGAGUGGCGAACGGGUGAGUAACAUAUCGGAACGUACCGGGUAGCGGGGGAUAACUGAUCGAAAGAUCAGCUAAUACCGCAUACGUCUUGAGAGGGAAAGCAGGGGACCUUCGGGCCUUGCGCUAUCCGAGCGGCCGAUAUCUGAUUAGCUGGUUGGCGGGGUAAAGGCCCACCAAGGCGACGAUCAGUAGCGGGUCUGAGAGGAUGAUCCGCCACACUGGGACUGAGACACGGCCCAGACUCCUACGGGAGGCAGCAGUGGGGAAUUUUGGACAAUGGGCGCAAGCCUGAUCCAGCCAUGCCGCGUGUCUGAAGAAGGCCUUCGGGUUGUAAAGGACUUUUGUCAGGGAAGAAAAGGCCGUUGCCAAUAUCGGCGGCCGAUGACGGUACCUGAAGAAUAAGCACCGGCUAACUACGUGCCAGCAGCCGCGGUAAUACGUAGGGUGCGAGCGUUAAUCGGAAUUACUGGGCGUAAAGCGGGCGCAGACGGUUACUUAAGCAGGAUGUGAAAUCCCCGGGCUCAACCCGGGAGCUGCGUUCUGAACUGGGUGACUCGAGUGUGUCAGAGGGAGGUGGAAUUCCACGUGUAGCAGUGAAAUGCGUAGAGAUGUGGAGGAAUACCGAUGGCGAAGGCAGCCUCCUGGGAUAACACUGACGUUCAUGUCCGAAAGCGUGGGUAGCAAACAGGAUUAGAUACCCUGGUAGUCCACGCCCUAAACGAUGUCAAUUAGCUGUUGGGCAACUUGAUUGCUUGGUAGCGUAGCUAACGCGUGAAAUUGACCGCCUGGGGAGUACGGUCGCAAGAUUAAAACUCAAAGGAAUUGACGGGGACCCGCACAAGCGGUGGAUGAUGUGGAUUAAUUCGAUGCAACGCGAAGAACCUUACCUGGUUUUGACAUGUGCGGAAUCCUCCGGAGACGGAGGAGUGCCUUCGGGAGCCGUAACACAGGUGCUGCAUGGCUGUCGUCAGCUCGUGUCGUGAGAUGUUGGGUUAAGUCCCGCAACGAGCGCAACCCUUGUCAUUAGUUGCCAUCAUUCGGUUGGGCACUCUAAUGAGACUGCCGGUGACAAGCCGGAGGAAGGUGGGGAUGACGUCAAGUCCUCAUGGCCCUUAUGACCAGGGCUUCACACGUCAUACAAUGGUCGGUACAGAGGGUAGCCAAGCCGCGAGGCGGAGCCAAUCUCACAAAACCGAUCGUAGUCCGGAUUGCACUCUGCAACUCGAGUGCAUGAAGUCGGAAUCGCUAGUAAUCGCAGGUCAGCAUACUGCGGUGAAUACGUUCCCGGGUCUUGUACACACCGCCCGUCACACCAUGGGAGUGGGGGAUACCAGAAGUAGGUAGGGUAACCGCAAGGAGUCCGCUUACCACGGUAUGCUUCAUGACUGGGGUGAAGUCGUAACAAGGUAGCCGUAGGGGAACCUGCGGCUGGAUCACCU